GUCCCUGUAGCGCAUGGAUAGCGUGUUGGAAUUCUAAUUCAAAGGUCGUGGGUUCGAAUCCUACCUGGGAUG
rnacentral:tRNA from 1 species